rnacentral:lncRNA from 1 species
AAUAUCUAUUAAGGAGAUAUAUCCUCAAAGAAAACAUGCCCAAUCACAGACUUCCCAAUGCAACUCAAUGAGAAGGUGCUCCGGGCAAUAGCUGCCUCUUGAGUUUAUCUCCACUGAGCUAACCAAACCAGGAAGUAACAGAACUUGUUGUCUGAUUGACAGCAAGGGGGGUGUAACAAGGUUAAUCUACAAAAGUGUAAAUUUCUAUUGAAAUUUGCACGUUUUGUAAAAUGAUCAAAAAGGACUUACUUUUCAAAUAUUAAGCAUUACAGCAAGAUAAAGUGCUUUAGGUGUUUGGGGUGUUUCUUUAAUGCUACGUUUUAGGUGAUAGAUGCAGUUUGAUAAAUGCCCAAAAUGCUUUCUGGUAUAUUGAAGUGUUUUUGCAAUUUUAAUUUAUUUAAACUGCCUUCAAAGCCACACCUGCUGUAUUAGUUUGGAAUAUAAUAAUAAUGUUCUUCUCUUUUUCAGUUCUGGAGUUUUGGAGAGUGGUGGGAUGUCGUAGUCGAUGACAGGCUGCCAUAUUUAGACGGAAAACAUUUGUCUGCUAGACCAUCAACUGAAAAUGAAUUAUGGCCUUGCCUUUUGGAGAAAGCCUAUGCAAAGUAAUUUCUUAAUUCAUUGAGAAAAUGUUGGGGUCUUUUCAAUAAACCUGGUGCAUGACGCUUCUCCAUCACUGUUAGAUUUUGUUGGACUACAAAUCUCAGACAUUUCUGUCUACUAUGACUGAAUUAUAGAGCUGUAGUUCAACAGUCUGGAGGACACAGUUAGAUAUCUUUGAAUCAAUUCCUCAAUUUUUGUACACAGGUUGCAGAUGUGUAUAUCCAUAAAAAUAAAGUUAAAAUGUCCCAUAAGCAAAACAAUACUGUUAAGUUUUUGAAAACCAUGUUCUUCAUUUGUAUCAUCUUUAAAAAAAAUAUUUUUAAAAAUACUAAUCACAUAAUCAAAAACAGCAUGGCUUAUAGAAUCACAUAAACAGUAUAAAGGAGCCAUUUUGUUUAUUUACAAAUUUGUAAUAACUUGUUAAUAAACAAAAUUAAUAUUUUAUUAUAUUGUUUAGCUCUAUUAUUUUGUAAAUUGAGGUUUUUUUUUAUUUUAUUUAAUUUUUUUCCAUUGUGAAAAAAUGGUUGUUGAGUUCAAAUUCAACAGUUAGUGGCUCAGUUACCCAAUAACAUGAAUCUAUGUCAUCCACAUAAUGAGAUUGGUUUGUACACCAAGAAUAAUCAUCCAGAAAUUAAUCAGCCGGUAAUCAGCCGUGCAUUAACAGUAUUUUUACACACUUGGAAAAAACCCACAGGUUGCAAUAAAAAUAAUUUUUCCUGAAAAUGUACAUUUAGUCACUCUUUUUUUUCAGGCUCCUUGGAUCAUAUCAAAACUUGCAUUUUGGAGUGCCUGCAGAAGCCUUUACAAACUUUACCGGUGGACUGGCGAUGUCAUUUGAUUUGAAAAGUGAUAUUGAGCUGUCUGACCUGUUUCACAUGAUUAAAUAUGCGUGUCUAGAGACCGUCAUGACAUGCACCACGAAAAAGAAGGUAACAUAUUCAGAUAAAUGCACAUAGUAAAGAACUAUUGAUAAUAUCUGGUUCAGUGGUGGAGCUAAUAUAGAGAGGGCCCUGGUGCAAGAAAUGUUUUGCCCUGCCCCCUCCAGUGCAUACACAGACAGACUCACACACUGACACACUGACACAGUUAGUGUGUGUGUGUGUGUAUGUCAAUGAGUGCAUGUGUCUCUGAGAGUGUGUUCAUGUCAGUUUGUGUCUGUCAGUGAACAUGUGUGUUAGUUAAACAGUGUGUGAGAUAAUGACUGUCUUUCAGUGAGUGUAUAUCAGUGUGUAUGUAUCAGUGAGGGCAUGUUGUCUGUCAGUCUGUCCGUCCCCACUGUCAUCCCCACAUCCUGCCCCCCACACUUUCACCUUCAGGGCCGGACUGGCCCACCGGGAUACCGGGAAAUUUCCCGGUGGGCAGCGGAACCUGGGGGCCGGCUGCGUUCCUGGCUGGAGCCACCGGGCCGGGUGGCAGCUUCCCCGGUCCGGCGGCACUCCUGUCACUGCUGUGGCUGAUGGAGGAGGAGCAUGUCUCUGUACCAUGCUCCCUCGCGGUUCCAGGAACUGCGAGGGAGCAUGGUACAGAGCAUGUCUCUGUACCAUGCUCCCUCGCGGUUCCAGGAACCGCGAGGGAGCAUGGUACAGAGACAGGCUCCUCCUCCAUCGGCCACAGCAGUGACAGGAGCAGACUGGGCGGGUGGCCGGCGCGCGAGGGAGCACUCUCCCUGGAGUGCUUCCUCUUCAGCUCCCUCGCGCGCCGCACUGAUGCCGGAGCCGGAAGAUGACAUCAUCUUCCGGCUCCGGCAUCCCUAUGCGGCGCGCGAGGGAGCUGAAGAGGAAGCACUCUGGGGAGAGUGCUCCCUCGCACGCUGGCCGGCCGCCCGCCCAGACAGCCAGCCCGCCCGCCCAUUGACCGGCCGCCCGCCCAGUCAGCCGCCCGCCCGCCCAGUCAGCUGCCCGCCCAGUGACCGGCUGCCCGCCCAGACAGCCAGCCCGCCCGCCCAGUGACCGGCCGCACGCCCGCCCAGACAGCCGCCCGCCCAGUGACCGGCCGCCCAGGAGCCCAGCAGCACCACUGGACCCCAGGGAAUCCCCCCAGCACUCCAAAAGGUAAGGAGGCUGGGGGGAUUAAAUUUAAAAAAAAAAAUGUGUGUGUGUGUGUUAGUGUUAGAGUGUGUGAGUGUGUGUUAGUGUGUGUGUGUGUGUUAGUGUGUGUGUGUGUGUAAGUGUGUGUGUGUUAGUGUUUGUUUGUGUUAGUGCGUGUGUUAGUGUGUGUGUCUGCUAGUGAGUGUGUAACUGUGUGUGUCUGUUACUGAGUGUGUUUGAUGUCUGAUAGUGUGUGUUUGUCAGUGAAAGUGUAUGUUUUGUAAGUGAGUGUGUAUGUAUGUCUGUCGCUGAGUGUUUCUCUGUCAGUAAAUGUGUGUGUCUGUUAGCUAGUGUGUAUGCGUCUGUUCGUGAGAGUGUGUGUCUUCAGCAUUUACCUUUCUCCAGCGUUGGACUCCCCAGUGUCCGCCUCUCAGCUCCGAAUGCACAUGCGCGGCAAGAGGCGCGCGCGCAUUUAAACCGCCCAUAGGAAAGCAUUACUCAGUGCUUUCCUAUGGACGUUCGCGGAAACUCCUCUAGCAGCUGUCAAUGAGACAGCCACCAGAGGCUGGAUUAACCCUCUGAAACGGCUAUGUUUUCAGCUGCAGAGUUAAAACUAGAGGGACCUGGCACCCAGACCACUUCAUUGAGCUGAUGUGAUCUGGGUGUCUGUAGUGGUCCUUUAAGUGUGUGUGCAUACCGCGGUCGUGGGGUCGCAGCCCUGCAACCCCUGCGACCAGGUGCCCGCCGCCAUAUGUUGCGGCCCCGACCUGCGCCGAGUAAGCGCGGGGGGAGGGCCCAUGGAUCAAUUUUCGCACCGGGGCCCCAUGGGCCAUGUGUACGCCACUGCACACACACACCAUACACAUUCACACACUGCCCCCACACACACACACCAUACACAUUUACACACUGCCCACCCACACACUGAACCUUUCACACACAUUGCACCACUGCUCCUAUACCCUACUACAGCCCCAUAUCCCAGCAGACUCCAGGUAAGUUGUCAAACUGUUCUUAAACGGUUUGACGACUUACUCUGGGAGGGGGUGCCGACGCUCCUGGCACCAUAACCACUACACAGAGGAGUAGUGGUUAUUGUGCAUGGAAUAUUUCUUUAAAUAAUCUACAAGUGCCCCUCUCAGGCUCAGGCUCUGGAUCCGCCACUAGCAGAGCUGCCAUCAGAAAUUGUGGGGCCCCUGACACAGCUCAAGGUCUGGGCCCCACCGGUGCUUGCACCCGAGUCUGCCCAAAGUGCUGCGGCCCCCCCCCCGAGUCUGCCCACAGGAAUGCAGUGUCUGCAGGGCCGGUGCAAGGAUUUUUGCCGCCCUAGGCAAAAGUUAAGUUUGCCGCCCCCCAUGUGACAUCACAAUGCCCCACCCAUAUGAUCUGCCAUGUUAACUAACACCAGUGCUGCCGUGCCGCCGUGUUUACAUUAAAAGGCUUGCAGGGACAGGCUAGACACCAGAACCACUACAUUAAGCUGUAGUGGUUCUGGGGACUAUAGUGUCCCUUUAAUGUGAGGUAAAUUAGAGAUUAGUGCCACAAAUAAUAUACUAGAUUGCCUACUUACAACCAUAUGAGGAUAAUGAUGGGCUCUAGCUCCCGUCUGGCUCCACUGGUCUGGUGUAGAACAGGCUCUCUGGAGGCUGUUUGUAACUGUGGUCACAAAAAUCAAUGUUCUGGGAUCAACGGGAAGCAGCUCCAUUUUUUUGAGGGCCCUUUACACAGCUCAACGUCUGGGUCCCAGGAUCCACCUUCAUGUUCCACCAAUGAGUUUGUUCACAGGGGGUGGAGUGUGUGUGGGGGGUAUGUCCUGAUGUGUGUAAGGAAUGCAUUGUGUGAAUCUGUGUUUGUAUGUGUAAGGGCUGCAAGGUGAGUUUGUGUAUGUAUGGGAUGCAGUGUGUGCGUCUGUAAGGGAUGCAUUGAGUGUAAGGGGUGCAUUGUGUGUUGCUGUGUGUAAGGGAUGCAUUGCUUGUGUAUGUGUGUCUGUGUGUAAUGCAUUGUUUGUUUUUCUGUGUGCAAGGGGUGCAUUGUGUGUGUGAUGUAUGUCAAUCUCUCCCCCUCCCCCCUGCCAAUUUCCUUCUCCCCCCCUCCAAUUUCCUUCUUCUCCCCUCCUCUCCUUCUUCUCCCCCUCCCUCUCCAAUUUCCUUCUUCUCCCCUUCUCUCCAAUUUCCUUCUUCUCCCCCACCCUCCAACUUCCUUCUUCUCCCCNNNNNNNNNNNNNNNNNNNNNNNNNNNNNNNNNNNNNNNNNNNNNNNNNNNNNNNNNNNNNNNNNNNNNNNNNNNNNNNNNNNNNNNNNNNNNNNNNNNNUGACUGCUAUUCAAUCUAUAAAUGUAAAAAAAGUUUUUUGUUUUUAAAUCCAAGCUAUUGUGACACAGGAUCUAAUUAGUGGCACUUGUCAGCGUAUCCACUGUUAGCGUAACACACCCGCUUUAAGGACACUGACUGCUAUUCAAUCUAUAACAGUGAAAAAAGUUUUUUGUUUUUAAAUCUAAGCUAUUGUGACACCAGAUGUAAUUGGUGGCACUGACUGGGGAAAUGGGCACUGUGAGCCUGACACAGAAGCUGGCAGCAGUGGCAGACAACUAAGUGCAUUUACAUUAGAUAGAAAAAAAAAAUCCAAAAAAAGCAUACCCUUAUCCCUAACCUAGCUAUGCUUUUCCCUAUCUUAUGAACAGCAGCUACACUUUCCCUCCUCUUACUAAGCAUGCAGCUUGAGAAUGAAUCUAAAAUGGAUGCCUUCCAGAGGUGGGAGGGUCUGCUAGGGAGGGUGUGCUGCUAAUUGGCUGGAAUGUGUCUGCUGACUGUGAGGUACAGGGUCAAAGUUUACUCAAUGAUGACGAAUAGGGGGCGGGUCGAACCGCGCAUAUGUUCGCCCGCCGUGGCGAACGCGAACAUGCUAUGUUCGCCAGGAACCGUUCGCCGGCGAACCGUUCGGUACAUCACUAAUGACAUGUAUAUUAAUGUGUGUAUUGUGCUUAUGUAAUGAGCAGAUAUUGGCCCAAUCUUGUUGCUAGGUGCAUACUCCAGCACAAUAACAUAUUUAAAGUGAAGAGCACACCCACAGGACUUCAAAAUAAACAUUUUUUACAGUUGUGCCCUACAUACAUUCACCAUUUCAGUCCCAUUAACAAGCUUUCCUUAAUAUGUCAAGGUAGUUGGACUGAAACAUUGAUUACAUGCAAAGGCACGUCUGCUUAAAAUAAAUCUGCACUUUUGUUUAUUUUUAAGCCUAUGAGUGCGCUUUUUACGUUAAAGUACUUUUUAAUUUUAAGUUAUCUGUUCUAACUCUGUAUCUGCACACUAUGCUGGCGCGACGCAUUAUGGGGCUGGUAAAUAUUUUUUUUCCAGGGCUGCUUUUAAUUCCCAGUCUGGCCCUGUUCACCUUCCUACACACUGCCCUCAACACUGUCACCUUCCUACACACUGCCCCUAUACCGUCACCUUCCUACACACUGUCUCCCCAGUCCAACCCACAGUUAAGAGGCAGGGAGGGGGGGAUAAGCCCAAUUUAAUUUAAACAGCUCCCAGCACUUAUCCAACACUACAUGCACUACACAGACACUACUACAUACACAUCCACUACACAUCCACUACAUCCACUACACAUACAUUACAUCCACUAGACACACUGCAUCCACCACAAAAAUACUAGAUACACUACACACUGCAUUCACUACACAAACACAGACACUGCAUCCACUAUACACACACACACAAUAUAUUCAAUACACAUGCUGCAUACAAUACACACCAUAUCCACGAAAUUGAAAAGGGGGGAAGAAAAGACAUGAAAGGGAGGGGAACAGAGACAUAGAUGAAAGGGGGGAGGGAAAUAAAGACAUGGAUUUUACAAUCCAUGGGGUAGAUGCGAACUGAAUGGACAGUGUGGCUAUAUCUAAGGUGUGACACAUUUCCAACCUGGCUGAGACUGCAGUUUGCAAAGGGAUUAAGGUAAUGUGUAUGUGUAUGUGUAUGUAUAUAUACAUACACACACAUACAUACAUGUUUUAUAAAUGCCCCCAUACUUUGUCCCUGGCCCACCAUGUGCCCCCCCCCAGCCCCUCCCAAAUAUGAAUCCUAGAGACGCCACUGUUAGCAAGAAGUGGAUGACUCCGGUAGAACCAGCUGUGCAAGUUCUUAGAAUUUAAGAAAGGAGUCAGUGCUGCAGGAUUUUAUCAUUUCCAUUCUCAUCGUGAAAUCCCAAUAAAAUCCUGAGGGUGCAUUCUCAGGUUAGCCUGUCAUUUGAAAUUUACGUUAUGUAAAGGUAUGCAAUAUGAAACGCGUGGGAUUUAUUUACUAGAACGUGAAUAGAAAAGUGAGUUUAUCAAGUUUAUGCUGAAAUACAAUAGCUUAGAUAUUUUGUCCUAAACUCAGUGAAUUUGUUUAAUUCAUCACCGUUUCUUGCAUUAACCUGUGCCAAUUCUCUGGAAAUUUAGUUAAUAAAUAAAACAUUAAAAAAAAAACACCUAUAACUUUAUUGACCAUGAAUUAUAUGAUGCUCCAUUUUUUCCAAGCGACCUAACCCUUACAGCUCUCUCUAAUGGUUUAUUAGGAGACCAUGUAGCGACAGUUCAAUAUAAACUUGGGGUUGUACCCAGGGCCAGGAGACUAUUCCCUCUAAAGCCACACGAUAUGUAUGUGUUCAUUUCGAAUAAUCAGUCAUUCUAUUCAACCAGUGUAGAAUAUUGCAUAUUCCAUGUUUCUAUUGAUUAGAUAUGGAUGUGUGGAUUGACAUAAGUAACAGAUGGUCUAAGUCACAUGGUUUUCUUGUAUGAGAGCUCUGGAAUGUAAGUUGGGGGUUUUGUCCUUAUAUGGCUAGAGUUAUGCUCUGACAUCAGUAUGGGCACUUCUGUAUAGUAACUAAACAAAGGGACACAAUGUCUCUCUGUCUCUCUCGUGAUGUAACGAUGUAACUCUACCUUCAGAAGUCCAGCAAUUACCAUCUGCUGUUGAACGUCCAUUAUCCUGUAACAUCAUUUGUUGUUUUAUUAUGUAUCCGUAACUAAGAAUAAACCGUAUUAGUACUUUUCAUUAAUAUAGACAUAUAUUAAUGUAGCGAGCAUUUGGCCCAAGACUAUAUAUACAAAAGACGUAUAUAUCAAUCAACUGAAGAAAAGCAGAAGAAAAUAAGAAGAAUUAACAUUGACGAGCCAAUCAGAUCUUACAACCAGAAAGGAAAUGAUUGACUUGGGAUGGGUUUCUGUCAGAUGAGUUUAUGUCAAACAUUCCUAACCAAGUAAUUUAUUCAAAUUAAAAUGUUAAAACUUGUCUCUGCACCAGCGGCGGAACUAUUGGCAGUGCAGUGCAGCCCUUGAAGGCACACAUAAAUCCACAAAGCCCUUAAAGUGGGCCUUACAGUUAGUGCCACUUGAUGGGCAUCUCUGAUUAGGGGACCCCGUGGCUCUUUAGUAGCACACUGGGUCAGGUUCUUGUCAGAUAAUUAGCGGUGCUGGAAAGGAGAGAGUUCAUGUCACUUCUUCACAGCUUUCAGAGAGCCACGUGGUGAGCAAGAGGGGGAGAUACAGAGAGGAGAGGGACUGUUUCUGACAGAGCCUGGAGUCUCAGACUCCCAUCAGUCUUAGCCAGCCUGCUCUCACAUGCCACAGUCAACACUCACUGGAUCCCAGAGAAGCUACCCUCCUGCAUCAUAAAGGUAUAGGACUGUGGCUUAAAAAUAAAUUGUGUGAAUAUUAUAGAAAAUAUAAAUAUAGAAUUAUUUAUUUUUAUUGCUAUUCCUCAUUUUCCCUCUAAUGGUUACUUUUGUCCACUUGAUAUGUAAACUAAAUGGCAAAAAAAUACAUGUAUCCCUUUUGGGUGCUCAAAAAAUGUUUACACUAAUUGAACCAUUGCUCUGUGCAUUAUGUUAGCUCAGUUAUUAGUGAUGAUAUAGUGAGAUAUUUUAUACAACUUUUGCUUUAAGCUUGAAUUCUUGUAACAACGUUAUGCUGAUGUGAUCUCCGGAAUCACAGCUUUUUAUAUACGUUAAAUGAUGUAUGCCUUUCUCAUUUUUGAAAGUUUAAUUAAUAGAUGAAAAAAAUAACUUUUAGUUUUUUUAAUUGCAACUAAAUUUGUUGUGUAUAUUAAUGAUAUGCAAUUGAAAGAGCUGUUUUUAUUCUUUGUUUUGUUUUUCAGGAUGGAACAGAAAGAAACAGAAGUAACAGUAUCCCAUCCUUGGUGAGGCUGGACCACAUAUUACUUUACAAUUUAUUCUGACUGCAUUGAAAUAAAAUAAGUCAAAUACAGAGUUACCAGUAAUUUUAAUUUCCUGGCUAUUUAUCAUGGCAGCAUCACUUAUGGGUAGCUCCGCCACCAGGUGAGAUCAGGACAUAAAUUGACCAAUCAAAGAAACACUGUAUGCAUAAAAGGUCCCUCCUCCUUCCAUAUACCAGUCAAGUUUUAAAUAAAAAGAAAAAGAAGAGGUGGGAGAUUGAUGCUGCCAUAAUAAAUAGCUAGGAAAUGAAUUACAGGUAAAUCUGUAUUAAUUGUUUCCUUAUUCCUGAUAAUCAUGGCAGCAUUACACAUGGGUAGUACCCAAGCUGAAAAAAGUAAGGGAGGGAGAGUUAUUUAAAGGAUGAGAUUACAUAUAGUUUGCUGAAAAAAAAACCCAUGUUUUAUUUUUAUUAUGAGAGGAAAUUGAAGGCACGACUCCUUUGCCAAAAGAGGUUGAUGGAGUGAAUGACACAACCAGCUUGCAGUGCUUAAUGAAAGUCAUAGGUGAAGACGAGGUAUCGCUUAGAGGAACCUCUGUCCAAUUUGCCCAAGAAGUAGCCAAGGAUCUGGUGGAAUGAGCUUUGAUUUUCUCCAGAGGUAUCUUGUUGUUAUUUAGAUAUACAUCUAAGAUCACCACUGCAAUCCAUCUUCCUAAUGUUGAGGAAAAUAAUAAUUAUAAUAAUUUGCUAUUUUUAUAGCAUUUUUCUCCCUGUGAGACUCAAAGCACUUUACAAAAAUGCCGUUUCUGCUUUGCGAGAACCUGAAGGAGGAACGAGUAGCUUAUAAGAUUUUAAAAAUUUUGAUGGAACCGAUAAAUACUUGAUAAUGCAUUCUCUGACAUCCAAUUCUUGGAGCUUGAUCUCUACCAAGUUGGAAGAAGAUGGAAAAAAAGAAUGGGAGAGGUGAAAGUUAAAUGCUACUUUUGUAAGAUAAUUUUCUUUGGGCUACAGCAGCACUCUAGCAUUGGAAGAUGAGGUGAUGUGAUGGUUCGCCUGAGAGAGCUUGCAAUUCUGAAAUACGUUUUGCAGUUGAGAUGGCCACAAGGAAUACUGCUUUAUAUGUGAGGUGUUGUGUAGAAAUUUCUGAAAGAGGAGCAUAAGGCGGUUCAGUGAAUAAUUUAAAACCAUUGGCAAAUUCCAAGGUGGUGCCGAAAUUCUGGAUGGUGGAUGUAUUCUUAUGGCAGCUUUAAACAACCGACAUAUAAGUGGAUUAGAGGCCCAAGAGAAAUUGCACAUGGCUGAGAGAGCUGAGGAUUGGACUUUUAAGGUACUUAAACUAAGGCCUUUGUCCAAUCCUGCACGUAGGAACUCCAAUACCUGCAAGUGAGAAGGAUAUUGGUAAUCAAGGUGUUUACUUUUUACCUGCUUUUUAAAGGUGUCCCAUAUACAAUAAGGGCAAGAGGAGGUGGAAGGUUAUCUUGCUUUGAGCAGAGUAUCUAUAACUGAUUCUGAGAGGCAUUGAUGUUUGUGUGACCUCUUUUCAAGAGUCACGCCCCCAAGUUCGAGCAGGCAGGGUUGAGAUAGGUGGCUGGCCCUUGAAUAAGGAGAACUGGUAAGUGAGUUAGUCUCCAAGGCAGAGUUUGAGACAUUUUGAGAAGUAGUGGGCCAGAUGGGAAUGAUGGCUAUAAUAUUCUUCCCUUCUUUCCAAAUUUUCUUCAGAACUCUCAUGAUUAAUGGUAGGGGAAGAAACAUAUACGAAGUUAUAUCGAAGUUCCAGGUUUGGAAGAGCAUCUUGUCCCUGGGAUUGAGGGUCUGGUGUUAGUGAGAAGAAACUUAAGUGUUCUUCCUAUUGGCCAUAAGGUCAACCUGAGACAUGCCCCACUUCUCCGUCAGGACCGUAAAUAUUCUCAAGUUCAGAUACCAUUCUCCAGGGAGAAUGUGCGUUCUCCUGAGGUAGUCUGCUAACAGAUUUUCUUUCAGGUGGACUUGAGCUCAUGCCACUAGUAGGUUUUGUGUUGGAGGAUGAUGAUUGGAAACUUCUCCAAGAAGAAUUUCUAGAGUAUUCCUUCUCUGUGCGGUAUGUUCUAUGCUCUCAAAAGGACCGAUCAUGAAACCUUUAAUUUCUCCAUGUAGAUGGAUUCGAGGAUCUUUUUCCUUGAGGUAAGAGGAUUUUUUUGGAUUGCUUCAUCCAAUACUUUACCAAAAAGUAGGUCUCCUUGGAAUGGUAAAGAGCAUAGAGAGGAUUUACAAGAAUAGUCUGCUCCCCAUGAAUGUAGCCAUAAGGUACAUGGUACACAUGGGUAGGUGGACAAAAAAAAUUACUUUUUAGGAAAAGAAUAUUCCUAUCCAUCCAUCCAUAAUCUGUACAGAGGACGGAGCUACCCAUAAGUGAUGCUGCCAUGAUUAGCCAGGAAAUAAUGUUUACACUGAAGCCAUUACACCGGUGAAUCAGAUGAGCUGCUCUUCGAGAGGAAAUUGUCAUUUAUGUGGAAUUUAUUCACCUUACUUUUGGUGAACCAGGACACAAACAGAAAUAGUAAUACCUUUAAAAUAUAUGUGAACCAACUUUUAAUGGAGAUUUAAAGGAGCUUUUUCAUAGACAGCCCCUCCAUCUAAUUUGCACUGGGCCUGAUAAUAUGUAAAAUAUGAUCCCAGGGGUCCAGGUAUUGAAUAUUUGUGUUAUUUGUCUGAAUUUUAAGAUUUGAGGCCUCCUACACCACAGGUCUCUACAGUUGGGGUAAACAACCCUACAGUAUAUUUACUUGAGAUUUUAUAAACAGUUGUCAUUUCCCUCAUAAUGUGUUAUUUAAAGUUAAUAUUUGUGUAUUUGCAUGUAUUUUUUAUAUGUGUAGGCCAAUUAACAUUCUGAUGCUAGAAUCAGGAUGAUAAACCCCCAAAAACUGUUAAUGUAAAUUAUCUUAAUUGUAUAUAGAUAGUCAUACAAUAUCUUGAAAAUUGUAAACAAAAGCAAAUUGACAAUGUAAUAGUCAGAAUAAGAAGAUUUUAUGCACAACUGUAUCACAGAUUUCAUCUGAAGAUUUUAGAUCCAUUCUUUAAAUCUUCUUUUCCAAUAAUGCAGUUUUCAUUUUAUUUUAUUUUUUUAGUAUAAACAUAAGCUAAUGCGGAGGGGCAGUGUGCCUGUCAUUGUAAGUAUAGAACCUUUUCUAUAUUAUUUGUUAUAUAUAAAUAUAUUACAUUAUUCAUGUUAAAAUGUGAUACUUUUGCACUGAUGCUGUUCUAAGUUAACAUAAACCGCCCCAAAAUACAUUGAAUACAUAUGUCACAGAGAUGCAUGAUGUAGGCACUGUAACAUUUUGAGAUAUACUCAGAUUAAUGCCAAUCCAGCGUCACCAUGUCCUCAGCAUCGUGGCUAUUCCUCUUCCACCCUCCUCCAGCACUUCUCUGGUUUGCUAAUCCCACAGUCUUCUUUUGUUUUCCCUGCUAGACAACGCUUGUCCAAGCAGAAAAAAACAUCUGUGACGCAAAAACGCUGGCUUAGUUGCUAGCAUGCCGGCGUCUUAUUGGGCUGGUGCCAGUAAUUAGCUAGAAGUGUCGACUAGGGAGUUACCAUAGCAACUAUGGUUUGUGCGUUUUGUUUGCUAUGUGUGGAGAGCAGAAGGACGGCCUGUGGGAGGUCAUUUCUGUUUACAGUUAAUUCUUCGGCAAUGAGUCUAUGUUGAAGAAUUGACUACCAGGUGGGAGAAAUUUAUAUUAUAAAUAGUUUUUUCUCCCAAUCCAUACAUUUGCUUCAAAUCUGCUAGCACGAUGUAUAGAUGAAAUUGAACGUUCUUUCAGUAAUUUGUAGGUACCAUGAUAGGUCCCCAUUAACAGUCAUUUAUGUUAUGAGUCUCAAUUAUAUUCUACAGAAAUGUAAAACCAUAAAUAAAAUCAGUGAACCAUAUGUAUAGUAAUACAUACAGUGUUAUUCAAGGUGAAUUUCAAAUUUAAGGUCAAAAUAGCCGAACCAGAAAAAUUCUCUAAAUCAGCAAUGCAUGUUCUUCGAUUUCUUUUGCAUUACAUUUGAAAUUCACUUUGAUUCCUCAUGUAAGUGAAUAACCCAGAUAUAAAAAUAUUAGGCAGACAGCAAAUAAAAUAUUUUACCCGUGAUGAUACAUUUGGUUUCAGUCCAUUCCAGAGCUUGUAACAACAACGGGAUGAUUUUGUGAAAGGGCAGAUAAUGCUAAACUCAUUAAGGUCAAUUGAGCAGAUGACACAUUCAGUAUGGUGAGUGAGUGAUUGAGUGAGUUACACUCUAAUGCCAGCAUCAAAAUCCAUCUUCCCUAGUAUUGAAACAUAACUAAAACACAUAUAUGGACUUAUAUGGACACAUGCAUUAAGUGGAAGACACUUGACUUCGACUCAUCCAUUCCUUGCCAAUUAGUCAGCAGAACACAUACUAACAUUUUUAUACCAUCUGAUGUAAAACAAAGCAAACUUCAGAAAGCCUGUGCACCAUAUGUCCUUGUGAUACAGACCAUCCCAAAGGAGAAAGCAAGCCUCUAAAUAUGUUUAUUGAUUGACCACGAGAGUAUAUCAGAGAACCAGCUUUGAUAAUCUAAUUUCAAUUGACAGUCUGCGAAUUUCGAGUAGAUUUGACACUUACUUUUAUAUUUCUUGUUACUUUAGUCAAUUCCUGAAAAUGUUCACCUGGGGAAUGGAUUGGUGGAAAGCCAUGCAUAUUCUAUAGUUGGCACAGCACAGGUUUGUAAUGACACAAAAUAUGAGAACUAUAUUUACUUUUUCCAGUUCUAUAUUAAUAUCCUUCCUGAAAAACAAUCCUCAAAAAUUGCACCACAUAUUCAAAGUCAAGUCCUGCCAUUGAUAAAUUGAUAGACACCACAUCUGUUUUUCUCUAAUCCUCUGGUAUGAUUCCUGAAAAAUAAAAAAUAGUGGUUUGGCUGAUUCUAAACUAAACUCUAUAAGUACUCAUGGGUGAACACCAUCUGACCCUGGUCUUUGUUUAUAUUAAUGGGGCACUAUAAGCACCAAAACCACUACAGAGUGUUCCAGCAGUUGUAGUGCCAGGAGUCCCCAGGCACAGUCCUAUUGGCAUCAGUUCAUACUUCUUAGCUAAUGUAUUCCAUUCAAAGCUGAACAAAACUGAUGUUACCAUAGAAGGAGAACCUCCACUUUCGGAAUGACUGCAAAGAGGGGCAGUAUACAGGAGCCUGGGGAGCCCAAACAAGUGUGAAACCAAUAGAAAAUGAUUUGACUUUUAACAGUGGAUAGGGCCUGUGGAACCAUGGCACUACAACCACUACGGCACAAUGUAAUGUUUCAAUUACUUUUUUAACUUUUUAAAUAAUUUAACACGUUAUCCAGUGAACAAAUCACUUGUUUGCUAAACUGUAACAGUGAUUUCCCCAUUUGCUGUGGCUGCCGGUCCAUUUCCUGUGUUUGUUCUUAAUUUCUUCACUUGCGCCUUCAAUAUGGCGGCUCCAUCACGUCCUGUGACAUUUUUCCUUCACUGUCCGAUAUACCAAAGAUGACGGCACAUCCUGCCUAAAUGAUGUCUGUUCAUCAAGUUAUAUCGUACGGCCCUUCUUCUACUCUAUUGGCGAUAUUGACAGGCAGAAAUCACAAUUUGCACAGUGACGAGUGUCUCAGUCCCUCAUUCUUGGCUUUCCAUAUCGCUUGUGUAGUUGAAAUCACAGGGCGCCAUCAUUGAAGCUGGCAAAAGAAGAGCAAAGUUCCAAAAGUCAUCUAAUCAAGAGAGAAUAGGAAUAAACAGAUCAAAUUAAAAUUAAUUAAAUAGACGUAAGUAAACAACAACCAAAAAAAUGUAAAAAGAGCAAAUAAAAAAUCUAAAAUAUUUAUAAGGUGAAUAUGCAAAUGAGGCGGUAUCAAAAUAAGGAACUAUUAAAAAUAUAUAAAAAACUUUAUAUAUAAACUUAAUAAAAAUUAGAAAAAUAUAUAUAUUUUAAAAAUGAAAAAAGAAAAGUAGGUUCGUAGAAUAGUAUUCACCGAGGGUAAAGACCAAACCAUGAGCACUUCCCUCUUUCUACUACUAAUACCUCUCUCCCUAUACAACCAAGCAUUCUGAUACAACCAAGCUUUCUAUGUUUCUAAGGGAGAUUUACAUGCUAACAUACAAUACUUACUUGCAGUUUAAACUCCUCAAUUUAAGCUUUGCUGUGGCCACCUCCACGAGGCACCCAUAGUGGAUUGGUGGGGUGCUCAGUCCAAUAGGAAUCUGGUUUGGAUUCCAAAUCUACACAGAAUCAAAAAUACAGUUUUGCAUUUAACAGUUUAACAUUUAACAAUUUAACAGAGUCGGACCCACUGAUAUUGGGGUACUGAGACUUAACACAAUAUGGACAUAUGGUGGAAACGAAUUCCCAUAUUUAUUUGCUAAGCUAGGUGACUUUAAGUAGCCUUGUUAAUGUAAAGCUGUAUUUUUGUUUGUGUGUGCGCUGUAUUUUUAAUGUAUUUUGUAUAUGUUUUGGUCUUUACGGAAGCAUAACUGCUUAGAGAUGCAUGUUCUUGGUGUGCCCCCAAUUCCCAUUUAUUUUGUAUAGAUUUGGAAUCAAGACCAGAUUCCUAUUGGGCUGAGCACCCCACCCAUCCACUAUGGGUGCUGCUUUGGAGGUUUUUUUCUUGCACUCUUGAACUUUACUGAAGGCUUGUUGGUUCUGAGCAGAUACUUGAACGUCCCUCUGGAACUAUUGUCAGACUAGUCCUCUGGUCAUAGUAGCAUCCCACAAUUGGCAAUCAGGAGCAUUCACAGAUCUUUGCGAGGCUUUAGAUUGAUAAACUAUUGCAGAGCCCUCCACCCAGACGGAUAAUACAUAUUAUUCAACUAUAUCGUCAUCCAACAAAAAGGCCUUACACACCUACAGCAGAUGGACAUUAAGUCCACGCCAUGGUUGCAUCAUAGCUCCAUCUGUGUAUCAAUAGAUUCAAACUUGUUCUUUCCUACUCGGAUACACUGGAAGCUUAAUGAAUUGUUGUUGGCGGUUCCAGCGAUCCAGGGACAAGUGACACAACAGUUCACUUAUUUUUUCGAGGAGAAUGCCACUGAGGGGAUGUCAGAUGUGGCGCUUUGGGUGGCGCAUAAAGGUGUCCUCAGAGGACAUUUUAUAAAACUGUACACCAGUAAGAAGAAGGAAGCUGUUGGCACUAUAUAAGUGGCAAUAAUAAAUAAAUAAAUAAUAAACAGCAAAUAGCUUAAAUCUCCAAAUAUGUUUUACAUCUUGAGACUCUCCACAAGAGGACUCAGCUGGAAACUACAUAUAUAAAGUAAAUAAAUGCCUGAAAACAACUAUCAGACCUAUUGGAACAUAAAUACUUCCACACUCCGCAAUGUACGAACACAUUUUUCUAUCUACAAAGGGGGUGGUGACUUCUUGCUCACAUGUUGCAUGGACAGCAAAGUCAAGCACAGGUACAUAGCAUAUGAACGUCAUCGAAUCGCUUGACUCGAUUCCCGGUGGAGAGUGUGGGAGAGUUUUGGAGAUAUUAAGAAGAACUGUAUAAUAUUCCCUCACUCUCCUUUAGUGGCUCCCCAAGGCAAAGAGAGAUAGGGAACAAUACCUGAGAGGUUUCACCCCUGACACACUGACAACUAAAGAGGCACAGUCCUCAAUUGCAUCCUUGAACCUUAUAAAAAUAUAGCAAAACAAGCAAGUCAAACAGAGAGUUAAUUCGAGGAAGUCAGUCAAUCUUGCAUACACAUCUCUCUCAAAAAUCUUGGAGGCAGGCAGUAGCGUGAUAGGGCAGUAGUUAGAUGGCAAGUAGGGUCAAGGUUGGACAUUUUCAAAAUCAGGGUUGCAUGUUUGAAGGAUAAAGGAAAUAUGCCAGAGGAGAUGGAGAGUUUGAAUAUUUAGUGAGAGGCAGAGCAAGAGUGCCUAUGAGAUUCGAGGGAAUAGGAUCAGGAGAACAGGUGGCGGAGGGAAAGGACCGGAGCAGAGCAGAAACCUCUUUUGUUGUAGAAGGUGCAAAUGAACAUAUGACAGCUGAGAAGUGAGGUUGAUGGAAGUAUUGAUAGGGGAAGGAGAGAUGAGAGAUCUCUUCCUUGAUUGUAGAAUUUUCUCAGUGAAGUGAGUAGCAGAGUUUGUGGUGGUAAAGUUGGUAGGAGGAGAAGCAAAAAUAUAGUUAAAUAUGUGAAAUAGGCAUUUGGGUUUGUGGGAGAGGGUGGUUAUGAGGGUAUUAAAGUAGUUUUAUUUUGCAGAGAAAAGAGCCAAACUGUAGAAGAGCAGCAUGCAUUUAUAAAGGAGAAAGUCUAAUGUGGAGUGAGACUUUAUUCAGCAGCGUUUAGCAGUUCUGGAACAUUUUUGGAGGUAUCAAGUCAGCUUGGUGUGCCAGGGUUAUAAUUGGGGGUGCUUUCUGCAUUUAAAUGUAGGAGGUGCCAUGAUGUCUAGUUGAGAGUAGAAGGGAGAGUUGUAGAAGAAGGUUCCAGAGUUAGGGCAGGUGAGGUAUGAGAUGGGUAAAAGGAGAGUUUGGAUGUUGGUGGAGAAUCGUUGUAGGUCAAGACAGUGGAGGUUCUGCGAGGUUAAUGUGCCGAGGGUGGUGUAACUUGGGUGUGGAAUAUGCUGAUGUCAAAGCUCAGCAGAUGGUAGUCAGAUAUAGAAAUGAAACAUUGGAGAGUUUUACCUGCAGGGAUCCCUCUAUGUGUAUCUCUACAGGUAAAGAUAUAUAAAUAAAAUAUAGAAGUGUAAUCAUUUUGUUUAUGCAGCCAUAGCCACACCUUCCUGCAUGUGACUUGCACAUCCUUCCUAAACACUUCCUGUAAUGAGUCAUCUAGUAUUCAUAUUUAAUUUAUUGGAAAUUCUAUUUAAUGUAACACUUUUUAAAGUAAGCUACAUCUGAAUGAAAGUGAAACCAUUUUUUUAUAUGCAGGAUGUGUCAGUCACAGCCAGUGGAGGUGUGGCUAGGGCUGCAUAAAUAGAAACAAAAUGAUUUAACUCCUAAAUGGCAGAGAAUUGAGCAGUGAGACUGCAUAGACAUGAUUUAUACACUAUAACUGCUUCAUUAAGGUAUAGUUGUUUUGGUGACUUUAGUGUCCCCUUAAGGUAGAUAAAUGUAAUAAGAAAAUGAAAUAAGAAUAUGGUAUUUAUAAACAAAUAAAAUAGAACGUUGGCUAACAACAAACACUGUUAAAACAAAAAUGUACAACAAUGGUUCCUGAUAUAAUCGAGAGUUUUCUUCAACCCUGAAUGUAACAUGGGAGAUCUGUAUUAAGCAGUUACAAUUAGAAGGAAUCUAUAUGUAUAACAGACUGGUAGAUGGUUGUUUUACACACAUGCAAAAAAAAGUGAAACUAUUUUAUUCUUGCAAGAUUAUUUAAAAUCACUUGUACAAUUUACAAAAUACAAGGACUGAGUCACAACACAUGACGAUAUUGUAUUUUAACCCAGCACUGCCACAAUAUUUAUGUGGCCGAACUAAUAUUUUAUUUGUAAGAAACAAUGUCAUUGCUCAAGUCGUUUAUCUGCUUUACUGCGAACAUGCUCCUGCUGCUCGUCUACAAUUUAAAUACAUUUCAGGUCUUUAUUUAAAAAAAAAUUUGAAUGGCAGGAUAGUUGUUUGAAGCAGAUUAGCAGUGAAGCUAGUUAUUGAUGCAGAUAGUGGCACAUUUUUCUCCAAUGUUAAACUGAAACGAUAGAUUACGAUUUAUGUUAGGGGUACUUUGAUGCAGUGAUUGGCUAAACACAUUAAGGUCAGGUGGUGUGACUAAAUAUUCAUAUAUAUUGAUUACACUUCAAUAUCAAUUAUUAAAUGAUAUAUGUUAUCUGUUGUCUGUAAAUCUUGUUUUUUGGGGGGGUUUGGUUAUAUAUUUCAUCACAUUUCCAAAGUAUAUUUUAUGAACCAAUAUGAACUACUUUCUAAAGAAGGUGAUCUAACAUUGAAGUAACCAUCAAUCAGAAGCGUAUUGGGUGGACCUUACAUGAGCUGCUGAUAUGUUACUGUCGUAAUAUUGUAAUAGUUUAUAGAUUUUUCUGUAUGUACUUUGGGUGCCUUAACAUAGUGUGUAAUUGUAUAAAUAUCUUUUUUUCUGCUCUAUUUUGUUGUGUUAUCUCCACUAAAAAGACUGAUACAAACUAAUAACUUUUUCAUUUAAAAUGCUCUAGUUUGUAUAAAUUACCAAACAUUACAUGGGAAAUAAUACAUUAUUUAAAAAAAAUAAUAAUUUUAAAGAGUUUGUUACAUAAAUAUUAAUUUGUAAACUUGCAAUUCAUCUUAAUUUGGGGCGAUCGUAAAGAUUCCCAAACUCCAAAACGAAAUUUAGUUGAAUCAUUAUCCCAAACGGACCAAAUGAAUCGUGCAAACCUUUUCAUUUUGAGUCAUGAUUUAAAAUUCUGUUCAUAGUAUCAAACAAAAAAAGCCAAUUUUCUGGCCCUUUUGGUUCUUCUGUUUUUUUUCCCCAAUGUUUUCUGUUAGCGAUAAAUGGAGGAUCCAAACUGCUACAUGGCCGAAAUGUGGCCGUCUUAUUUAUUUUUAAAUUUUCAGACAAAGGUCUUUAGCUGAAAUUAUUUUUUUUCAUCAUGCACCAUCAAAUUAUUUGCACCAAAAAUGGUAGUGGUUGUAGUGCAUGGUUGUUGCGUGUUGUUUCACUUUGACAUAUGACAACUAUACUAUAAAUAUAAAAUUUACAAUAAAAUACAAUUAAAUAAAAUGGUCCAAAGUUCCAGACGUUGUUGGAGAGUACUAGUUAUCAGCUCAUUAUAAACCUGCAGAAUUGUAUUAUUCUUAAUGUCAUAGCAGUCUCUCUCUCUCUCUCUUUCCUUUCUGCCAAGAAUUAUUUGCUGUAUUUAUAACCAUCAAUCUAUGUAUCUACUAUAAGAAUAUUUUAUCUCUUUUUUUAGGUUCAUUUUAGAAACCAAUUGGUGAAUUUAAUUCACAUCUGGAACCCUUGGGGCUAUGGAGAAUGGACUGGAGCCUGGAGUGACACGUAAUAUUUAAAGCCUAAUACACUGACAUAUAAUUAGAAAUAUCUUACUUGCUCUUCUGCAUAUAUCAAUUGUUUGGGGAGAAGCAUGUCAAAGUCUGCUUAUAUUGUUAACUUGUGAUUUAUUAUGAUAUUUAUAAUAUCUAUUGAUAUAUGGGAAAAUAGAAUUAGCCUACUCAUGAGAAUAGGUACCCCUUAGCUGCUGUGAUUUAAGAUUUCCAUAAUGCAUAGCUGGUUGCAGGGCCAGAUUUACAUAGGGGCUACCAAGAAAGAUAACUGUGUGGGGAUAUUUAUGGGAUGAUAAUAUUAUACAGUUGAGAAUUGCCCACUAUUUCAAUUCCCUUAGAUCUUAGAGAUCAUUAUCAUGUAAGUGAAAUGUAUUCCAUACAAAUAACAUCACAAUUUGUUAUAAAAAAUAUAAUUUAUUGUGACAAUAUGAUAAAAUAAUAAUAAUAUGUAACAUGCGUGAUAAUAAUGAGUGAAUAUUUAGUAUAACGUUGUAUACAAUGUAUAACGUUGUAUACAGAAUCAACUGUCAAGACUUACAAGAUUUAUGAGGGUACUUCACAGACACAGAAAGCAAAACUUUACACAGCACAACGAAAAACCAAAAUCUUGGCUCACAGUCAGAUCAACUGAAUAACCCUUUCAAUGCUGGCUAGAUCCUCCUAGGUAUAUAAUAUCGUAUUUUCAUGUAAUUUUCAAUUAAAAUAACAUUGAAACCAGCUCAUUAAUCAUUUCCUGGAACCAUCCAAAAGAGUCAAAUCUACAGAUUCUAUAAGCUGAAUUUUAAUUUGCCUUAAAAGAUAUUUUAUCUUAAUUCAGAGCAAAUCAACACACAUGGAUAAAAACAGUGGUAUGCUAACACUUGGUAAGAUACCAGAACUAUGUAAUUAUCUGACUCCACCUGCAGAAUGGAGUGUUAUAACUACAUAUUCUUUAUUUAAUUAAGAUUCCUCAAUUAUUGAAAUCUGACCGUGAUUUAUCCAGUCAUAUAUCAUGCUAUUAGUACAUUUUUAAUUAAUUUAGAUUAAUUAAAUAAAACCAGCAUAAUUACCAGUUAUAAUGUAGAUGUUCUCAUCAGAUGAGUAGGUAGUCCCAGGAACUUGAAUGCGAGUAUGAUUGGUUGUAUGGAGGUGUGUAAGUAAUAGAGAAAAGUGAUGUUGGUUAGAAAGUAAUAGUACAAUUCUAAGUGUCAAGAAGUGUUUCUUGAGUUGUGUCCAAAAGAGUUUGAGAGUUGAGUGUUAGUCCCAGAGUGUCCUGAAUAUCUGUCCUGGAUCUCUCUGAAUUUCCGAAUCUGAAAGCCCAAACUCCCUUCUCUUCCCUUUGUCCUAAAUUUUAAAGAGCCAGACUCUCUGUACGUCAUUAGUUGACAAGGCCAAUAGGAAACUGUAGGUGUGUCUAAGCUAUCUAGUAUUAUUUAGUUUUUGGUCAAUAGAGGGCGCAAUUGCCUCAUCAAAAUUGUAUGUCCUCGAAAGAGUUAACUUAUUUUGAUGAAGAUUCUGACGUCAUUUGGCUUAUCUAAAAUGACUACCAUAACUUAAAUUUGCUGUCAGUUCAGAGCGUUUCUUUGGAUUUUCUCCAGACAGCGCGUCGACAAUUCCUGUUGUAAUUUCUAAAAUUGACAGUUCUAAACUCAAUUUCACACCUUACUUACAAUGGGACCUUGUAAAAUUUAGAAAGUAAAAUUAAUUACUGAGUCUUCUCUUUCACUAGUGUCUGUGUUUAAAAUUAUUUCUAUUCCAUUACAUUUAAACAGAGCAUUCCAUCCCCCUGCUUCACUGCUUAUCACUUGGCUUGUUCACAUAAGGCAUUCCUUAGCUCAGGCUAGUGGCUAGUUACAGAAAGGAAAGAAAUUCUGUGUCUGUCUUGCCUGAAGAUAGCAAAAUGGAGUCCAUUUUGCUCUGAGUGACUCUGGCAAUAUACACUUUUAAUUUCUGUUAGCACAAAAUGUCUGCCGAUAUAAAUAUACUGACAACUGAGAGCUUGGUUGGUGUCCCCACCUUCCAAACACAUAGAGUACAGCGCUCUACAAAUGUCUAGUGAAAACACACACGCCUCAAAAUUUAUUGGGGUUGUAUGUAAACAAAAUGUGAAAGAACAUAAAAUAGUGCAAUACUGUAUAUCAAUAGUAAAGUGACGUCGAUACAUUGAGUGAAAAUAAACUCAAAUUUUUUAGAGCCUUUUAUAUGGAUGUAGGCUCUAAACACUUCAGUUUCCGUGCCUUUAAGGUAGGCACCCGUAACCUUCUUGUGUUGGUAAGUCCCUUUUAUUUCUCACAAUGGUUCAUGCAAGGGUAAAAAAUAUAUAGGAAACUUCCAGGUGUAGUAUCUCAAGUUUUGAAUGAAUUUAAUCCAAAAUAGAGUAAAAAUAGGUGCUCACCUUUUUAGAGCCUUUUAGUAACUGGCUCUAAGUUUGAAGACUUUGUGUCAGUUUGCAGGGUGACACUACCCUCUCCGGAUACAGGAUACAAUGUGGAGAUGAAGAUAAAUGGAUUGUGUAGAAUUUAUUUCCAAAUAUAUUAAUAUUAAUAACAAUAAAAUCUAAAUAAAAAAUAAAAUAAAAUACAGUGAUAAAUAGUCCUCUUUAUCUUCUAUGUUACCAAGAUGCGUUAUACCUGCAAUUUUAGCAUUUUCUCAAUGUAUCUUUCCUGGUAAAAUAUUUUAUAAAUAAAUAAAUACAUUUUCAAUCGGUAUCUAUCUUCAUACCAUUUGAAAAAGUUGAAAUUGCCAAAACUUGAAAUACUAUACCUAGAAGUUUCCUAUAUAUUGUUCUCUUACAUGAACAAUUGUGAGAAAUAAAAGGGACUUACCAACACAAGAAGGGUACGGGUGCCUACCUUAAAGGCACAGAAGCUGAAGUGUUUAGAGCCUACAUCCAUAUAAAAGGCUCUAAAAAAUGUGAGUUUAUUUUCACUCAAUGUAUAGACGUCACUUUACUAUUGAUAUACAAUAUUGCACUAUUUUAUGUUCUUUCACUUUUUUUUUUAUUAAUCAGUUUUUAUUGAUGCAUGUCAAUAGUUAAAUUUGGGCUUGCAGGCCCGCAUUAAUAACAGAAUACAAGAUUACAUAGUAAAAGCAUCAGAUAUCCAAACAGAAUAUACAUAUGAGGUUAGAAUCAGUUACAGUUGCAAUAUCAGGUAACACGAGAUCGCAAGUGUCAGUCACUACCGUGUUCCUCCCCAGGGGGCACAUCGCUACAGCUCGUGAGAACCAUAGUUGACCAGAUCAGUCCACCGAGUGCUAGGGCGGUGCGGACAAAUUAAUAUGUAUCAGUACCUUAAAAAUGCGUGUCAACUAAUGGUUGGUGUCAAGAUUUCUCGUCGAAGAGUGUGAAAGUGAAGUGUGAUGUAUUGUGUUAGGGUAUGGCAUAACCCAUAGGGAAUCCGGUGUUGGGUGGUGGUAGUAAAGAGGUAUGGCACUGCGCAGCCAUUGUAGAUGGAAAGGGAAGAGGAUGGUAUUGGCUCGAUGAGGACACACGAUAGUGUGAGAGAGUCCCUCCAGCGAUAUGAACUUCCAAUCGUGGUGCCCUCGUUCGCACCUCGACUGCCCGCAUUUGGCGCAAUAGAGUCAGUGCGGGAGAGCCCUGCCUCUUCGUGGAGUUCCCAAAGGCCUAACUGGUCUGUCUAAUGACCGUGUUAUGUAUUGUCGGGUUGUGCAUGUCGCAAAUGGUGUGCGAAGGAAGCAGCUUAGCAGGUGUCGUGUAUUGGUGGAGGUGUGAGAUUCAUGCUGUCCAAGGUUCCUUGCGGUAGAAAUAAUGUUUCGUCGUCGUGGGUAAGGGGUGUGGGGGUGCGGGGUUCCUACAUGUGGUAGUCGGUGAGUCCUGCGCCUCCCUUACCAUCAAAUGUUUUGUAUGUCCGAUCAGUUCCCAGUCAGCCAUUAUUGUCACAUGUUGUAUGACCAGAGUCCCCAUGGAGAUCAGGCCAAUGUGUCGGAUAUCUAGCAACUGGCCGGGUGUGGAUAUCGCGCUGCAUCAGGUCUGCCUCAAUCCGCCCCCUCCCACACAUGGGGACAGUGGGAAUCCGAAGUCCACUACCUUUGCCUGCGAGGGCUCGCGACCCGUCGCCUUAUCGUAUAGUCUAAGUAGGGGCGGUGUGUGAGUGUAGACUAGCCAAUUAAUUGUGUGUAUGUAUGUCCCCCAAGGGCAUCUUUGUUAGUUCGAGCCAUCCGUUGUAAUGUCUUAUCCAGUCGGGGUGGUGUGGUCGGUUCGUGAGGUGUGGUGUCUGCGAUCAUUAGCUGCAUAGGGCGGCUGUAGGUCAUAAUGUAUGAAAUGGGUAUGUCGCGAGGGCUGCGCCGUCCCCCGGCCCCAAGCCCCCCCGCCGGGAUCCCCCUACGGCCGCGCACGGAAGGUGAACCACGGCGCCCAUAUAUCCACGUAUUUUGCCUCUCUGCCCGUCAAUUCCGCUUGGAGCGCCUCUGCCGCCCUGAUAUCCUCGACCCCAUGAAUCCACUCUUCCCUUGUGGGGAUAUCCGUUGUCUUCCAGCAUACCGGAAUGAGUGAUUUGGCCGCGUUCAAUAGAUGGCGCAGGACAGAUUUUUUGUAUGCAGACAAUGGUUGUGAGGAAAUGUGCAGUAAGGCUAAUUCCUCCGACCAUUUGGUAUCGUCUCCGAGGAUUAGGAGAACAUCUGAUUUGAUUCGAUUCCAGAACGGUGCGAUAAGUCUGCAUUCCCACCAGAUGUGCAAUAGAGUCCCAUUGUCUUCCUGGCAUCUCCAGCACGUUGGUGGGGUAGUGGGGAAGAUCCUGUGAAGUAGUACUGGUGUUCUAUACCACAUGGAGAUCAGUUUGUAAUUUACCUCUUGAUAACGGGAGCUAGAGGAGCUCUUGUGUUGCCAUAUCAGGGCUUUGUCCCAUUGCGUCGGAGUGAAAGUCUUGUCCAUGGCCCAUUCUCAGCGUCGCUGGAAGGUGUUGUUGUCCGAUGUGGUAUCAGUCAACAGGUAUUGAUAAAGGUUCGAGACAGUUUUCCCAAAAGACGCGCCGCGGGAGCAAAGGUCCUCAAACCACGUUAGUUCUCUCCGUAGUUUAUCCUUAUGAGGCAGAGAAUUGUAAUAAUGUUUUAGUUGCAUAUACCGGAGAAUCACCAUCGGAGAUCGUGGUCGGUCUUCCAUCAGCGUGUCUAGCGUCUUUAGGGUACAGUCCCGGGUGACUUUGUAUAUUUGGGAUAUAUUCCGCGUUCCCCAGGAAUGUCCAGGCUUCCAUAGGCAGCCCGCCCCCUAUACCGGGGUUGUGUGUAAUCGGCAGCAAGGGGCUCGGGGUCAGGGAGACCCUGGGUGUCUCCCUGAGGCUCUCCCACGCGAGCAGUGUUUGUUCCACCGGGCCCCUCGUCCUAUCUCCUGCUGCCCCUGGUCGCCCGUCUCCUCCACACCAUCACUUUUAGUUUCACUGCGUCUCCUUCCCGGUCCAGAAUCACACAUUGCUUGCUCGUGUCCAUUUCAUGCCAUUCCAGAAUCCGCUGUAGCGUCGCAGCUUGGUAAUAUUUUUUAAAGUCCAGCAGUGCUAGACCCCCUCUGUGUCUGGGCAUACAUAAUAAGUCGUGGCGUAGCCUGGAUCUUUCCCCUCUCCAUGUAUAUUGGAUAACAGACGACCUGAGUGUCGAGAAAAAUGUCAUCGGCAGGGCUACUGGAAUGGUCUGAAAUAGAUAAAGAACCCUCGGGAGGAUGUUCAUUUUAAGGACCGCUAUGCGGCAGUGCCACGUAAUGUGCAGGUAAGCCCAUCUCUUCAGAUCUGAUUCAAUUGACUGCAAGAGCGCUGCGAAGUUGAGUCGAUAUAUAUCUUGCGGGUCCGUGGGAAUCCAGAUGCCUAGAUACUUCAUCGCCCCUGCGCACCAACGAAAUGGGAAGAGCGGGCCCAGGGACUCGAAGUCUACCGCGGGUACAGUGAUAUUUAGUGCCUCACAUUUCGCCAGGUUUAGCUUAAACCCGGAUAUCCGGACAAAUUUGUCCAUAUCUGAAAGUAUGCAUGGUAGCGUGAUCCGUGGCUGGGAAAUAAAGAACAGGAGGUCGUCCGCAUAAGUGGCCACCUUAUGUUCCGUGCCUUGACAGGAAUAGCUGUGGAUGUCUGGGCGGUCCCGAAUUGCUUGUAGGAGUGGCUCCAGGGAGAGAGCGAACAGGAGUGGCGACAGGGGGCAUCCCUGCCUGGUGCCGUUUACGAUUCCAAAGCUCAUAGUCAGAGCUCCAUUAACACGUACCGACGCUCUCGUCGAGCUGUAUAGGGCAGAGAUCCACGCCAUAGUCCUCUGCCCUAUACCCAUGCACCGGAGCGUUUGGGUCAUGUAUGACCAAUCCACCCGGUCAAAUGCCUUCUCCGCGUCCGUGGAUAACAGCAGGAGGGGUUUCCAAUGUUUCCGUGCAUGGUGUUGUAUAGAAAACAGGCGUAGCGUACUGUCCCGAGCUUCUCGGCCCGGGAUAAAUCCCGUCUGGUCCACAUGAACUAGAUUCGGUAAUAUCCGUUGAAAUCUAGUCGCCAGGACUUUUGUCAGGAGUUUCGUGUCCACAUUCAGUAGGGAAAUUGGACGGUAACUGCCGCAUUCUUUCACAUUUUUUUCAUGUACAACCCCAAUAAAUUUUGAGGCGUGUGUGUUUUCACUAGACAUUUGUAGAGCACUGCACUCUAAGUGUUUGGAAGGUGAGGACACCAACCAAACUCUGUUAUCUUUCUUGGUGGUUUUAUAUAUUAUAGUGGGAAUUUGGAGUAUCCACAGAGUGUGUUCAGCAGCUUGGCUAUAAAUUAGUAACACAACUAAAAGCGCAGUUUUUUUCCACAUUAGUUGUUUUCUAUAUAUUAACAUAUUGCCUAGUUAAGUGGAAGCUCCAGGUUUACACAUUGCAAUAGGCCCAGGCUCUGUCUCUCUUUUUUUAUUUGUGAGUCUGUCUGUUCUUGAAGUGUUUCCCUGAAAGGCAGGUAGAGGGCACCACUCACAGUUAUAAUGCACGGACAGAUUUCAAAUUUGUCUCAGUGUUCUAUUUCAUAGAAACAACACUAGUCAUUUAAAUUAUAAAAUUGGAACUUCAGAUCCUAAACGGGAUUAGUAGCUACAUUUUAAUUCUAUUUACUAAUGAAUUUGGCACUAAUACCUAUACUCUGUGUUCAUCAGUUUAUUAUGGAUCUUUUGAGUCAAUUCGCAGCUUGGGAAUAUAAUAAUUUGUUUCUAAAUGCUAUGCAUUAUUACAUAUUUAAUGAUUUUUGGGUUUUUUUCCACUGACAGGUGUCCAUUUUGGAAGGAAGUGCCUGAAGCAGAAAGCCAGUCACUGCUCGUAAAGAGGGAAGACGGAAUGUUUUAGUGAGUUUGAGUUAAUAAACUGGCUGAUUGUGUAUUAAGUAUAUAAUGUGUAGACUUCGCUCAUAAUCUAACGUUUAAUAAUUAUCUACAUGUUAAUGAAACAAGAAAACACACAUAUAAUUACACCAAUGAUAAGUUAGUGAAAUGUGCUCAACUAUGAAAUAUUCCUUUAUCUAUCAGUAAUACAAUCACUAGCCAUACUAAAUACAGGAGCACAUUAAUUAUAUCAAAACACGUUUUUUAUGUUAGAAAAUAUUCCUUUAGGUAUAUAUACCAAUACAUACAAAUAAAGAUCUUAUGAACAUAAACAGAGAUAGCUGUAACGCUACAAUAAAACAUUAUGCUAAUACACAAGAGCCUGGAGUUGCUAGAAUGACAAGAACUUGGUAUGGAACCAGAAAACUAUGCAGGUUCAGGAAGACAUUAGACACCAUGGCGAGAAGCUGUCAGUGCUGAACCUGACGCCUAGGUGACUCACAGAUCCUGUACAAAUGCUAAAACGUUGUUCAGAUGGAGGGCUAUUUGUAACAACACUACAAUAAAUACAUUAUAACAGUCUUAGCCUGAGAUAAUGUAACACAUGAUAUUAUGUAUACAGAACAAAAGCUGUCACGUCAACAAGAAUUGUCAUUGGGUUGAGGGUUUUAUGUUCAUGCUUUUACAGGCCUUUUUAUUUACAUAAAUGUAUAUUUCUUUUAUAUUUGUAGUAUGUCUUUUGAAGACUUUGUUGCACACUUCUUUAAGUUGGUGAUCUGCAGCCCUUUACCAGACUUCUUGGAUUGGGAAUAUCAGCCUAAACAAUGGUACAGGCAAAUGUUCUGGAACACCUGGCCUAAAGGAAUCGUAAAUAAAAAUGGCGACAGGCAAGGUAAGAAGAAUAAUCAGACCUGCUGUUUAAGCUUAAAGAUUCUAUAUUCUUAAAAAUAACUUUUUUUUAAAGAUGAACAAUAUUCCUUUAACUCCAGUUCAGACUUCAUAUUUUUUAGUUUUGUGGACAGAAAUAUCAAAGUCACAAUAUAGUGUGAAUUUGUGGCAAAAUGGUGAUAUUCUUCUAUACCAACACAGUGGUGUUAAUAUGCUAUACAUUUACCAUAACCUUGAUUUGGCACUUUGGUUACUUGUCCUAGGCGAUUGAGAUCUAAGGGUCAGGUGUCUAUGGGAUUUUAGAUUAUCCAUCAGCUGACUAUUAUACAUCAACAAACAUAUGACAAGGGGUCAGAGCCUAAAGAUCAGACAAUGAUGUAAUUAGUAUCCUGGUGCAGAGAGUUUUAGAAAACAGUGUUAUAUUUUUAUAAUUAACAUAAUUUUGCAUCACAUUCCUCUGCUAUGAAUAACAAGAAAGUAUUAUGAAUAUUGACAAAAUCAUGACUUUACUUAUAUUAGAUUUGAUUUUCAAGAAUCCACAAUAUCUGAUACAAAUAAAUGACAGUGAUGAGGUGAAGAAAGGGUUCAAUGUGGUGAUAUCGCUCAUGCAACAUCCUGCAAACCAGAAGAAGUUCCACGGGGAAUGGCCAGCAGUAGCAUAUCAAAUUGUACCAGUAAGUCACAAAUAAAACUAUCGCUAUGUCUGUUAAGUCACCAGGUCUUACAGAGUUAGAGUUUCUGAUUGGAACCACCUCUUUUAGUUGCAGUUGAGAUAGCUACAUAUUCAGUCCCCAUGAUCUAAGACAGCGUUCUGCAAACUCUGGC